rnacentral:rRNA from 1 species
AGCGGCGAACGGGUGAGUAACGCUUCGGAAUCUGCCCAAUGGUGGGGAAUAACCAGCCGAAAGGUUGGCUAAUACCGCAUGAGCCCUACGGGGGAAAGCGGGGGAUCGCAAGACCUCGCGCCGAUGGAUGAGCCGAAGCCGGAUUAGCUAGUUGGUAGGGUAACGGCCUACCAAGGCGACGAUCCGUAGCUGGUCUGAGAGGACGACCAGCCACACUGGGACUGAGACACGGCCCAGACUCCUACGGGAGGCAGCAGUGGGGAAUAUUGGACAAUGGGGGAAACCCUGAUCCAGCGACGCCGCGUGUGUGAAGAAGGCCUGCGGGUUGUAAAGCACUUUUAGUGGGGAUGAAAAGCUCAGAGCUAACACCUCUGGGUCUUGACCUAACCCACAGAAAAAGCACCGGCUAACUCUGUGCCAGCAGCCGCGGUAAUACAGAGGGUGCGAGCGUUAAUCGGAAUUACUGGGCGUAAAGCGUACGUAGACGGUUGGAUAAGUCGGAUGUGAAAGCCCCGGGCUCAACCUGGGAAUGGCAUUCGA